UCGUAGCUCAGUGGAUAGAGCAGUAGCCUCCUAAGCUAUGUGCGUAGGUUCGACUCCUACCGA
rnacentral:tRNA from 1 species